rnacentral:rRNA from 1 species
GAUGAACGCUGGCGGCGUGCCUAAUACAUGCAAGUCGAGCGAACGGACGAGAAGCUUGCUUCUCUGAUGUUAGCGGCGGACGGGUGAGUAACACGUGGAUAACCUACCUAUAAGACUGGGAUAACUUCGGGAAACCGGAGCUAAUACCGGAUAAUAUUUUGAACCGCAUGGUUCAAAAGUGAAAGACGGUCUUGCUGUCACUUAUAGAUGGAUCCACGCUGCAUUAGCUAGUUGGUAAGGUAACGGCUUACCAAGGCAACGAUGCAUAGCCGACCUGAGAGGGUGAUCGGCCACACUGGAACUGAGACACGGUCCAGACUCCUACGGGAGGCAGCAGUAGGGAAUCUUCCGCAAUGGGCGAAAGCCUGACGGAGCAACGCCGCGUGAGUGAUGAAGGUCUUCGGAUCGUAAAACUCUGUUAUUAGGGAAGAACAUAUGUGUAAGUAACUGUGCACAUCUUGAUGGUACCUAAUCAGAAAGCCACGGCUAACUACGUG